rnacentral:rRNA from 1 species
GAUGAACGCUGGCGGCGUGCUUAACACAUGCAAGUCGAACGGGAAACCUUUUAUUGAAGCUUCGGCAGAUUUAGCUGGUUUCUAGUGGCGGACGGGUGAGUAACGCGUGGGUAACCUGCCUUAUACAGGGGGAUAACAACCAGAAAUGGUUGCUAAUACCGCAUAAGCGCACAGGACCGCAUGGUCCGGUGUGAAAAACUCCGGUGGUAUAAGAUGGACCCGCGUUGGAUUAGCUAGUUGGCAGGGUAACGGCCUACCAAGGCGACGAUCCAUAGCCGGCCUGAGAGGGUGAACGGCCACAUUGGGACUGAGGCACGGCCCAGACUCCUACGGGAGGCAGCAGUGGGGAAUAUUGCACAAUGGGGGAAACCCUGAUGCAGCGACGCCGCGUGAAGGAAGAAGUAUCUCGGUAUGUAAACUUCUAUCAGCAGGGAAGAUAGUGACGGUACCUGACUAAGAAGCCCCGGCUAACUACGUG